GGUGAGGUAGCUCAGACGGUUAGAGCGAGGGAUUCAUAACCCCUAGGUCGGCGGUUCGACUCCGCCUCUCACCACCA
rnacentral:tRNA from 1 species